AAGACUAUAGACCUGCGGAGUACCUGCGGAAGGAUCAUUAACGAACGGUCGUCAGACCUUCAAACCCUUCAAACCGUGUGGAAGUAGAUUGUGCUUCGGCGCUUCGGCGCCGCUUUUAUGCAGAAACAAAGCCUUGUGUCUGAGCUGAAAGCGAAAACAGAAAACUUUUAGCAAUGGAUCUCU
rnacentral:misc_RNA from 1 species